AGGAACAGCACAGCAAAGGCUCCCAGUAGCAAAGAGCCUGAGCUGGCCGGGGAGCCAGCCGAACACCCACACUGACGUCAGAGAACAUGGCAAGUGAGUUUAAGAAGACCCAACAGUGCCCAUGGAAGGAGGGGAAUGAUUUAAAUGGUACCAAAUAUGAGAAAGAAUCACUGGAAAUUUUGGAGAAUUUCAGUGUACGAGUUUCAUGGAAGAUUGAGACGUUAAGCAACACACGACACACUUAAUUAUGAAUUAAUUAUGGCUGGGAUAAUUGCUGAGAGCCAAGACUUCCAGGCACUGUGAGAACACAGAGCAGUGGCAGAAUCUGAUCACCUACUGGUUUUCUGUACCACGAAGCUGAGAAGUCCUGCCCCAAACUGAACAAAACAUUCAAGGUUGUUUUCCUCUAAAGCACGUCAUAGAAGUUAUCAUUAUAACCACUGGUUUAUUACUUCAUACCCAAUAAAGUGACUCACUGUUUGUUUUA